UACUGAUUUAUAACUAUUGAAUUUCGGUUAAGUAAGAGAGCUAUCAAGUACGAAUUAUCUAUGCCAAGACUCCCGCUGGGGUGGGUGAGAAAAAAUGAGGUUUCUACGUUUGGGGAACGUGGCGUCUAGUUGGGAAGACACAUCUAUGAACAGGAGAUUUCAGUAAUUUGUUAUAUGGUCUAAUUAAACCAGUGCGCUGAGUUGCUAAUCACUGACCACAUUUAUUCAAUUUAACAACCAACUUUGAACCCUUUCUAUUUGCCCGGCGCUAAGCUAAACUCUGGGGAAUCCAAGAUGAGUAAGGCAGGUAGGCGUCAACUCUCUAGGAUCUAACAUCCUGUGUAGUGAUGACGGAAGAAAAUUGUCCUCUAAACUUUAUUACAGAUCUAAACCUCUGUGUUUGGAAAAUAUGCGUCUGUCUCACAAUGACUGAAAUGCCCUUUUAAAACAUUAGCAUGAAUAGACAAAGGAGGAAGCAGGUAGGCAUUAAAAUAAUGGGGCAAUCUAGUUGAUCUUUAGAAUAUGCAUCAGAUUCUUAAGGAGAGAUACUUAAGAGAGGAACCAGGAAGGAACUGUAGUAGG
rnacentral:lncRNA from 10 species